UUAUGCAGGCUGAGAGGGGUUCCCAAACUUUUUCAUAUGACUGUAUAUAGUGUUUGCUAUCAUGCAAGUGAUUUUAUAUAUAUUUUUUUGUGACUGAAAACAGGUUUUGUUUUAAGUUUGUUUCAUAUGAGCAGCAUUAUAACUGCUUUAUUCUUUGAUCUGCAGGCAAUGGUGACGUCAUAUCCUAUGAGGAUGCAAAUCGAGCUUUUGAGACCGGAGUCUCAGGAGUCAUGUUGGCAAGAGGAGCGUUACUGAAGCCAUGGCUGUUUACUGAAAUUAAAGAGCAGCCACACUGGGAUAUUUCCUCAGUAGAACGGUUUUGACAUCUUGAGGGACUUUACAAAUUAUGGCCUGGAACACUGGGGUUCAGAUUGCCAGGGGGUUGAGAGAACAAGACGAUUCAUGCUGGAGUGGUUGUCCUUUUUAUGCAGAUAACGUUUCAGAACAAUGGAUAUUACGACUCAUAGCCUCAUGCUGCUGUUGAAUUCCUUUACGUAUUUUCCCGUUGGUUUACUGGAGCAUGUACCUCAGAAGAUCAAUGAAAGACCACCGUACUACAUGGGGAGAGAUUACAUGGAGACUUUAAUGGCAAAUCAGAAUGUAACUGACUGGAUAAAAAUAAGCGAGAUGCUUUUGGGACCUGUCCCUCCAAACUUCUCCUUUCUGCCAAAGCACAAAGCCAACUCUUCUAAAUAAGGCCAGAUUCUGUUUAUUUUAUGUUCAUACAUUAAUGGGGGGAAAAUGAUAGGAAAUAUUUUUUUCUAUUUACAGUAAAUAAAUAAACAUGUUCUGUCUGUUGAUGAGUAGUUUGGGUUUUUAGACACAUUGGCAUGGGCCUGUGAAGUUUUCAUACAAGCACCUGAGGAAGGAUCCUUGAUCCGAAACAUGUUGUGUAUUUCUAAAUAAAAGGAUUACUGACUGAUCAA